rnacentral:tRNA from 3 species
UGGAUGGGAGCACAGUGGUAGAGCGGUCGGCUGUUAACUGACUGGUCGUAGGUUCGAAUCCUACUUGGGGAG